ensembl:lncRNA
GCUAUAAGCACAGCAAACGUUUUAUGCUAACUGUUCAAUUAAUAUUUUGCCCAUAAAUCUAUGUGCAAAUGUGGCAAUCUCAAGGCUUUAGUCACUGUAUUUUUAUGAAGUAUGAUGCAUUUUAUUUUGCAGUGAAGGUGUAUUCAAAAUCACAAAACCAUGAAAGCAUCUGAAAAAUGUCCUGUUCAUUCCCACCGUGACUGUUUUUUUUUUUUUCAACAUUCUUGUAUUUACAUUUUAAACUGAAUAUUGAGCAUAUAACUCCAGUUUAUAGUACCACCAUUUCCCCCAGGAUAAUGACCAAACUGUCUGAAAACAUGUAAAUAUGCUAUGCUUCAGAAACACGUGAAUGUGUAGUGCAAAGUGGUUGAAGAGUUUGAGUUCCUCUAUCACUUCUACACUCUAAAAACGGACAUAUUCAACAGCACGUGUUCAAGGUUUAUCAAGAGCUGUGUUCGUCGCGAACGGACAAAGGCUCAAACCAUCAUCUUUUCCUGGUAUCGAAUACCAAGGGACCUUCUGAAGUAAGCUUUAACAAGAUGAGGAGGAGCUCAACGCAGACCUUGCAAUGCAAAUCAUGAAGAUUGCUAUCAUUGGUGAUGGGCCUGCAACCAUCAUCGUUGAGGGAUCCAAGAUCCUGGAGAGGAUUGAUGUUGCCAGAUCCUGUGCUUUGAUGAUGGGAGUAAUCUACGCUCUGAACCUUACCUAUCCCAAGCAGCUGAAAUUUACCUUUGAGGUAUUUCAAAAGCUAUGCCUUGAGCUUGAUGGACAAAAAGCCAGCUCUAAAGUAAUGAAUCUUAAGUUUGGUAUUUUCUAAGGCAGACUUGAUAGACCAUUCGUGAGUGAGUUUCACAAAAACCUUAUUCCUGCAUUUCUGGCACUACAUCAAUGUGUUUUACUAAAUUUUAAAGUGCUGUUCUUAAGUCUUCUGAGUUAAUGUUUUGCCGUGUCUUAAAUGCUGUUAUUUGCACAUUUUUAAGGAAUGCGUUUAAUUUCUCCCAUGACCUGUGUUCUGAGGGUACUGGUGUGUUUUAAAGUUUGUGUAAUGCCCUCUUUAGCUGGCCUUAAUCUUGAGGGUGAAAAGUCAAAUAUAGAAGAGAAUCAAGAAUACUUUGUAAGAGUGCUGACAAAGUUGAAUGAAAGAAGCUUUGCUCAUUUUAUGUUUAAAUUAGUGCAUUUAAUGUCUGCCUGUCAUCUUUUGUUUUGAUUCACUGUCACAUGUUAAAGUAAAAAAAAAAAAGAGGAUUCAAGUAGUAGCUUGUAUUACAAUUUUAAUACACAGUUCCUUAAGUUUCAGCGGGCAAUUUGUGUUCUAGGAAACGGAAGCCCACAAAUCUUGCACUUCACACGCACGUUAAAGAAUUGUGAUGUUUGUUAUUGUAAUUAAAUGGGUCUAACUCAUUUGAAUACAUCUGUCUGAAUUUCUAUUCUUUCUGAGCACCAGGUACGAGUCCCUUAGCUGAUGUCCAGGUAUUUGGCAUCACAUCUGCCGCAUUCAAACAAAUACACACAACAUCCAUUUCUUUUUCUGAAGGUCAUGACACAAGAGCACACACAGCGCAUGUUAAGGCUGACCUUCGUUUGGGGAAAAAAGUGAUCGACAAGUUUCUAAGGUCUUAGAACCUUGACUUCUUUGUGGGCAGGCACCACCAUGCAUGAGCCUGCCCACGCGGUAGUCAUGGUUAUAAGACACAGCUUUUGAUCAAGGUUGUAUUUUGGAGCGACUUAGCCUGCUGGGAAACAGGUAAAUGCCCUUAUAGAAUCUCCUGUAGGACCAAAAAAUUACUACACUGUAACCAAAAUAUCAUAUUUGACCAACAUAAAUACUAUUUAUGCCGACAGUUAAGUUCAUUUUAAUUAUAAAUGUGUUUUAUUUUGAUCAAAAAGUUACUUCACCAUACAUAAAUAUAAUCUUGGAUCAACUUAAAUUCCUGUGUAUUUGUUGACAAUUAUUAAGUUCAUGUUACUCAGAAUGUGUUUUUUUUUGUGGCCAAAAAGUAACUUCACUAUACAUAAAAUUCACGUUGGAUCAACUUAAAUUUUUGUGUUCUAGUCGAAAAUUAUUAAGUUAAUUUUACUUAAGAAUGUUUUUAAUUGUGGCCAAAAAAGCUACUUCACCAUACUCAAAAAUAUUGCUUUGAAUUAAUGCUAUUCUGCCAGAAGUUGGCUUAACUCAAAAAUUCUAGUGGAAAACGUUAACAUGCUUUUUUUAUUUGAACCAAUGUUUUAUUUAUUAGAGUGUA